rnacentral:rRNA from 1 species
UACAGAGGGGGCGAGCGUUGUUCGGAAUUACUGGGCGUAAAGCGUGUGUAGGCGGCUACGUAAGUCGGAUGUGAAAGCCCCAGGCUCAACCUGGGAAGUGCACUCGAUACUGCGUAGCUUGAGUAUCGGAGAGGUUGGUGGAAUUCUCGGUGUAGAGGUGAAAUUCGUAGAUAUCGAGAGGAACACCGGUGGCGAAGGCGGCCAACUGGACGAAUACUGACGCUGAGACACGAAAGCGUGGGGAGCAAACAGG